GGUUCCGUAGUGUAGUGGUUAUCACUUUUGCUUCACACGCGAAAGGUCUCCGGUUCGGGUCCCGGACGGGAAACCCA